rnacentral:rRNA from 1 species
AUUGAACGCUGGCGGCAGGCCUAACACAUGCAAGUCGAGCGGUAGAGAGGAGCUUGCUUCUCUUGAGAGCGGCGGACGGGUGAGUAAUGCCUAGGAAUCUGCCUGGUAGUGGGGGAUAACGUUCGGAAACGGACGCUAAUACCGCAUACGUCCUACGGGAGAAAGUGGGGGAUCUUCGGACCUCACGCUAUCAGAUGAGCCUAGGUCGGAUUAGCUAGUUGGUGAGGUAAAGGCUCACCAAGGCGACGAUCCGUAACUGGUCUGAGAGGAUGAUCAGUCACACUGGAACUGAGACACGGUCCAGACUCCUACGGGAGGCAGCAGUGGGGAAUAUUGGACAAUGGGCGCAAGCCUGAUCCAGCCAUGCCGCGUGUGUGAAGAAGGUCUUCGGAUUGUAAAGCACUUUAAGUUGGGAGGAAGGUCAGUAGCUUAAUACGUUGCUGAUUUGACGUUACCGACAGAAUAAGCACCGGCUAACUCUGUGCCAGCCGCCGCCGUAACAC